AGUUGGAUAGCUGGGUCAAAUGGUGGUUCCAUUCCAGGUUUUCUAAGGAAUCUCCAUACUGCUUUCCAGCUAGGUUGUACCAUUUUGUAGUCCCACCAGCAAU
rnacentral:pre_miRNA from 1 species